CGUCCCGCCGGCGACCGGCGCACGGGUGAGUAACACGUAUGCAACCUGGCCGCCACAGGGGGAUAACCCGCGGAAACGCGGCCUAAUACCCCGUGACGCCACCGGAGGGCAUCCUCCGGUGGCCAAAGGAGCGAUCCGGUGGCGGAUGGGCAUGCGGCGCAUUAGCUAGACGGCGGGGUGACGGCCCACCGGGGCGACGAUGCGUAGGGGUUCUGAGAGGAAGGCCCCCCACACUGGGACUGAGACACGGCCCAGACUCCUACGGAAGGCAGCAG
rnacentral:rRNA from 1 species